rnacentral:rRNA from 1 species
UACGAAGGUCCCAAGCGUUAUCCGGAUUUAUUGGGUUUAAAGGGUGCGUAGGCGGACUAUUAAGUCAGUGGUGAACGCCCCAGGCCUAACCUGGGAACUGCCAUUGAUACUGAUGGUCUUGAGUACAUUUGAGGUGGGCGGAAUGUAUCAUGUAGUGGUGAAAUGCUUAGAUAUGACACAGAACACCGAUUGCGAAGGCAGCUCACUAAACUGUAACUGACGCUGAGGCACGAAAGCGUGGGGAGCAAACAGG